rnacentral:lncRNA from 1 species
AGGUGCUUCAUGCACGCGUUUUACCUGGCCAUGGGUUCCAUCGCCGCUCACGAUUGGUUCAAGGACAUUCUGUCAAAGGCCCAGCGUGUUGUCACCUUCUUUAAGGCUUCGGACCAGACCCUGGCCCUGCUCCGGGCUGCGGCCGCCAAGAUGGACGUGACUCGGGGGCUGGAGACGUCCAACAAGACACGGUUCACAUCCGUGCACUCGUGCGCUGAGUCUGUCCUGCGCAACGAGCACCCCAUUAUCGAUGUCAACCGCAGCAACCCCACCCUCCUCACGGCCUCCAAAACUGGGCCGGAGGUGAAGGCCAUUGUCGAGGACCGGGUGUGGUGGUUCAACCUGGAGACCGUGGUCAUGCUCCUUGGUUACUUUGCAAGUGUGAUCAUGGCGGUGCAGCGGGAGAAGACCACCCUUGGCGACAUCACCCGGUACUGGGCGUGGCUGCGGCAGAAGCUGAUUGCCAUCGCCCCAAAGCUCAGCAACGGUAGGCUCAUGAGGGUUGGGGAAAGGGAUUGCCCGAGGGUUGGGGAAAGGGAUUGCCCGGGGGUUGGGGAAAGGGAUUGCCCGGGGGUUGGGGAAAGGGAUUGCCCGAGGGUUGGGGAAAGGGAUUGCCCGGGGGUUGGGGAAAGGGAUUGCCCGGGGGUUGGGGAAAGGGAUUGCCCGAGGGUUGGGGAAAGGGAUUGCCCGGGGGUUGGGGAAAGGGAUUGCCCGAGGGUUGGGGAAAGGGAUUGCCCGGGGGUUGGGGAAAGGGAUUGCCCGGGGGUUGGGGAGAGGGAUUGCCCGGGGGUUGGGGAGAGGGAUUGUUGGCCGAAUGUUGAUAGUUGGACGAAUGUUUGUGUUGUAUUCCGCUUCUUAAAUCUGGGUCCAAACUGAUACAUUUUCUGUCUAAUUUUUCCUUUCUCGCUUGGCGCGGUUACUGGACAAGUUCGCUGGAACUAACUGAAUUCCAACUGCCUAUUUUGCCGCUUUUCUGUCAGAUCUUUAUGGCUCCGACCUCUGGGUCAGACGGCGAGCGGGAAGCUGUCAUGGAUGCCAACAAGUAAACGCCGCCUCAGGCGGAAGUCCAUACUUGCAGAAGUAUGGGCGGGGGUCGUAGCACAGGCUACGACUGGGACGCUGGUCCCUGGCUCGCGGAGCCCCGUCAUCGAUUGGAAGCAUGGAUCAACGGUACGCCAUUCCGGACUGGACCGCGCCAUUUCGGAAUUGGCUGUACGAUUCAUGGGNNNNNNNNNNNNNNNNNNNNNNNNNNNNNNNNNNNNNNNNNNNNNNNNNNUUCAAAUGCACAGCCGAGUCGCCUUGGCUGCAACCUUACCGAUAUCAUUGUCAUUGUCUAAGGAAGGCAACUGUGACCGUUCCACAUGACAGGUGCUUCAUGCACGCGUUUUACCUGGCCAUGGGUUCCAUCGCCGCUCACGAUUGGUUCAAGGACAUUCUGUCAAAGGCCCAGCGUGUUGUCACCUUCUUUAAGGCUUCGGACCAGACCCUGGCCCUGCUCCGGGCUGCGGCCGCCAAGAUGGACGUGACUCGGGGGCUGGAGACGUCCAACAAGACACGGUUCACAUCCGUGCACUCGUGCGCUGAGUCUGUCCUGCGCAACGAGCACCCCAUUAUCGAUGUCAACCGCAGCAACCCCACCCUCCUCACGGCCUCCAAAACUGGGCCGGAGGUGAAGGCCAUUGUCGAGGACCGGGUGUGGUGGUUCAACCUGGAGACCGUGGUCAUGCUCCUUGGUUACUUUGCAAGUGUGAUCAUGGCGGUGCAGCGGGAGAAGACCACCCUUGGCGACAUCACCCGGUACUGGGCGUGGCUGCGGCAGAAGCUGAUUGCCAUCGCCCCAAAGCUCA